rnacentral:rRNA from 1 species
UGAGCAAUCUGCCCUUCUCUUUGGAAUAAGCGUCGGAAACGACGUCUAAUGCCGAAUACGACCUCCUUUCGCAUGAUCGGAGGUGGAAAGCUCCGGCGGAGAAGGAUGAGCUCGCGGCCUAUCAGCUAGUUGGUGUGGGUAAUGGCCCACCAAGGCGACGACGGGUAGCCGGCCUGAGAGGGUGACCGGCCACACUGGGACUGAGACACGGCCCAGACUCCUACGGGAGCAG